GACGAAUGCUGGCGGCGUGCUUAACAUAUGCAAGUCGAACGGAAAGGCCCUGCUUUUGUGGGGUGCUCGAGUGGCGAAAGGGUGAGUAACACGUGAGUAACCUGCCCUCGACUUUGGGAUAACUUCAGGAAACUGGGGCUAAUACCGGAUAGGAGCUCCUGCUGCAUGGUGGGGGUUGGAAAGUUUCGGCGGUUGGGGAUGGACUCGCGGCUUAUCAGCUUGUUGGUGGGGUAGUGGCUUACCAAGGCUUUGACGGGUAGCCGGCCUGAGAGGGUGACCGGCCACAUUGGGACUGGGAUACGGCCCAGACUCCUACGGGAGGCAGCAGUGGGGAAUAUUGCACAAUGGGCGGAAGCCUGAUGCAGCAACGCCGCGUGCGGGAUGACGGCCUUCGGGUUGUAAACCGCUUUCGCCUGUGACGAAGCGUGAGUGACGGUAAUGGGUAAAGAAGCACCGGCUAACUACGUG
rnacentral:rRNA from 1 species